CAGCCGCCGCGGUAAUACGUAGGGUGCGAGCGUUAAUCGGAAUUACUGGGCGUAAAGCGUGCGCAGGCGGUUUUGUAAGACAGGCGUGAAAUCCCCGGGCUCAACCUGGGAAUGGCGCUUGUGACUGCAAAGCUAGAGUGCGGCAGAGGGGGGUGGAAUUCCACGUGUAGCAGUGAAAUGCGUAGAGAUGUGGAGGAACACCGAUGGCGAAGGCAGCCCCCUGGGCCAAUACUGACGCUCAUGCACGAAAGCGUGGGGAGCAAACAGGAUUAGAUACCCCAGUAGUCCCUGUCUCUUAUAC
rnacentral:rRNA from 1 species